AACGAACGCUGGCGGCAGGCUUCAUACAUGCAAGUCGAACGGUAGCACAGAGGAGCUUGCUCCUUGGGUGACGAGUGGCGGACGGGUGAGUAAUGUCUGGGAAACUGCCCGAUGGAGGGGGAUAACUACUGGAAACGGUAGCUAAUACCGCAUAACGUCUUCGGACCAAAGUGGGGGACCUUCGGGCCCCACACCAUCGGAUGUGCCCAGAUGGGAUUAGCUAGUAGGUGGGGUAAUGGCUAACCUAGGCGACGAUCCCUAGCUGGUCUGAGAGGAUGACCAGCCACACUGGAACUGAGACACGGUCCAGACUCCUACGGGAGGCAGCAGUGGGGAAUAUUGCACAAUGGGCGCAAGCCUGAUGCAGCCAUGCCGCGUGUAUGAAGAAGGCCUUCGGGUUGUAAAGUACCUUCAGCGGGGAGGAAGGCGUUAAGGUUAAUAACCUUGGCGAUUGACGUUACCCGCAGAAGAAGCACCGGCUAACUCCGUGCCAGCCGCCGCCGUAA
rnacentral:rRNA from 1 species